AGUGGCUGAUGCCUUGAGAGCCACCCUGGCCAUGGUUAAGCAGCUCCUGCUUGCAGCUGUGUCCCUCAUGAUGUGCCAAAUCACCGUGGCUGGAUGAGGGUAGAACACAGUAUUUACACUAAUUUUGCAUUCUGGAAUAAAAUACUUCAGUGGGAAGGGAGCUAAAAUGACCAUCUGGUCCAUGAAGGCAGGGCCUUGAAGUGCAGCAAGGCAGGCCAGAGUUAAACCCCAGAGCAAUGGCAAUCAAAGUGUGACGUUAUUUGGAUGUCUGUGGCUUGUCCAUCAAUCUGUGCCUCAUCAACAUGAACCCAGCAGUGGGAAAAAGGCAAAAACUGGGGGAAAACCAGGCAAAAUUUAGGGGAAGAGAGAGAAAUGUUUCAAACAGCCCAGCUAGGGGAGAGUCUAGCUACAGACAGGGCUUUUGGCUGUAGCAUUUUUGCCCUUAUCCAGGGUGAAUGGUCCAGCCCCUUCCUUGUUCUGCUGUGCUGCGGACACCUGGAUUGUCCUUUCCCACGGUCAGUGACAUCCCUGCUCUGAGGUCAGUGACAGAAUGGUAUGAUGGGUCAAAGGCACCUUUGAAGAUCAGUAAAGUUCUGUGAAUUUUAACUUUCUACCUAAGCCAAGAUUAGUGAGAUGAAUCACCUAUCAGCUGCUCUCUCCUCAGAGUGCAGUCAUCCCUAAUCAUCCCAACUUACAAAAAAAAAGCCAGGUAUGAUGUUUUGUUGUAGUGACAAGGCAGCUUUCCAUUUCAAGCACCUGAAAAACACACAAAAAGAGCUGAAUUCAGAAACCAAGCAGCAUGAGGUCACCCUCAGCAGCCUCCAGCAGACCUGUUUUAUUUAUUCCACUGGAGUGGCAACAAACACAAACUCCCCCUGUGCUGGAGGUGGGCAGCCCGCGGGUCAGGCUUAGCACAAAAGCCCAAUUUUAGGCAAAGCUCUGUGAGUUUGGUGCCUUGGCUUUGCUGUUGUAAACCAUCUGCUCAGCUUCACUCCCAAACACCGGUGCUGGGAAUCAAUCACGGGGUUGCUUUUGGUUGAUCCUUGUUUUGCUCGACUUCUCAGCUUUUAAGACUUCACGGCCCCGGGCUCAGAAGUGCGUGCCAAGAACUGCAUCACAUCGAUAGCAACAAAACCCUGGCAAAUUCGAGCUGGCCCUCGAAAUCCAUUAGUGCCCUCGGAAAUUGGGGGGCUGGAAGCGUGGCAGUGGAAAAGUCCAUCUUUUGGGACUCAGCUUUCCAGCCCCACAUCCAGGAUUUCCUUGGGGAAGGACUGGUCCAGCCCAAGCAUUUCAGGGGAGCCUUGCAAGGUCUGUAUUGGGAACCCAGCCCACUGCAUCAUGUGAAGGAGGUGAUAUCUGUGUGUUCCAAAAUCCCUGUUUGUGACACGCGUCAGGCCUUGGAGGACAUUACCCCCUCACUCCCCUUGAUGCCUCAGGAUUUUAGCUUUUAUUUUUUCAUCUAUUUGUAAUCCUGCAGUUCUUCAGUGUGUAACUCUAAACUCCAUGUACAGUGUGAGCUGCUGCUUUCCCAUUUUGGGCAGACACAACAAUUCCUCUCCAGACCUGGCAGUCAAGGACACCUCACUGCCUCAGGCCUGAGAGAUGGAAACAAAAGUGAGUUGGGGGCAGCAAACCUGGGGUAAAUGACUUCAUUAGCUGAAGCUGUAAUUGGAAGAUGAACCCCCAACAUGCAAAUGGACCAAACUUAUAGAAGUGUCAAAACCUGUGACCCCUUGUCCAUUUUGGGUCUUUAUAUUCUCUAAAUGUACCUGAAGGCCCUUCAAUAAAUAGAACUGCUUUUUACUCCCUUAA